AUGCUAUUGCUCACAACUUCACCAACAUCCUUUCUAUAUUUAAAGACUGAGUUGUAUGACUCCCACUUUUUUAAUGCCUACACCAUGAAAUAUUGCAAAAUCAAAGCCUUUUUACUUUCAACUAUUUCCAUAAUAAACUUUUUGCUUCCUAGAUCAACAAUUCAACCUCAUACUGGAAAAGUUUUUAUUCUCAUCCAAAUCACUCCAACACAUACAAAUUAA